rnacentral:rRNA from 1 species
GAUGAACGCUGGCGGCGUGCUUAACACAUGCCAGUCGAACGGUGAAGGCGGAGCUUGCUCUGCUGGAUCAGUGGCGAACGGGUGAGUAACACGUGAGCAAUCUGCCCCUGACUCUGGGAUAAGCGCUGGAAACGGCGUCUAAUACUGGAUACGAGCUGCGAAGGCAUCUUCAGCAGCUGGAAAGAAUUUCGGUCAGGGAUGAGCUCGCGGCCUAUCAGCUUGUUGGUGAGGUAAUGGCUCACCAAGGCGUCGACGGGUAGCCGGCCUGAGAGGGUGACCGGCAACACUGGGACUGAGACACGGCCCAGACUCCUACGGGAGGCAGCAGUGGGGAAUAUUGCACAAUGGGCGAAAGCCUGAUGCAGCAACGCCGCGUGAGGGACGACGGCCUUCGGGUUGUAAACCUCUUUUAGCAGGGAAGAAGCGAAAGUGACGGUACCUGCAGAAAAAGCGCCGGCUAACUACGUG